rnacentral:rRNA from 1 species
UACGGAGGGUGCAAGCGUUGUCCGGAAUCACUGGGCGUAAAGGGCGCGUAGGCGGCUCAUGAAGGCUGUGGUGAAAGUCCGGGGCUCAACCUCGGAUCGGCCGUGGCGACUCGUGGGCUGGAGCACUGUAGAGGCGGGUGGAAUUCCGGGUGUAGCGGUGGAAUGCGUAGAGAUCCGGAAGAACACCAGUGGCGAAGGCGGCCCGCUGGGCAGUGGCUGACGCUGAGGCGCGACAGCUAGGGGAGCAAACGGG